AAGAAAAAGAGGAGGCCACUUCAACAGAGUCGGAUGUAUCUUAUUUUAUAUCCUGGAAAAAAAAUGGCAUUACAGCUGGUUUCUAUCUAAUAGAGAGUUUGUAGGAGUUCAUAUUUCUCCUUGUGGCAGAAGAGAAAGAAUAGAAGCUCUCUGACCUAUUUUACCAGCAAUGAUUGGUUUUUCAAACCUGGAGAUCAUGAAACCCUGGUGUGAGGUCCAGCCUGGAGUGUCAUGUGAUGCAUUUUAAAAAGAAUCGUCCAGUUGAUAAAAGCACAAGGCUGAUGGUCAUAUUCCAGCACGGAUCUUACAGAUGUGGGGCGAUACCUAAUACAAGCCAUGUUCUACAUACACCUUUCUGUAAAGUGAUGAUAGAAUGCAUGUUCUUCCUACGCCAAAGGAAUGCUGCAAAGAUAAAAUUUAUUCAAAAAUAAGAAAACUGAAACCAAGGAAAGUUGAAUGCCUCUCGGACUGCUUUUCUGAAGAAAAUGGGGAUUAUCACGGAGGAAGAAGAGGACAGAGAGAGAUGAUGAUGAAUUCGAGAUCAAAGCAUGUGAUAGUCUACAGAAGGGCCACACCUGCAGCAUAUAGAAGAUCCUGGGAUAGGAGCUGAAUCGGACCUGCAACUGCUGGCCUACACCACACCACAGCAAUACAA